AGUGAACGCUGGCGGUAGGCCUAACACAUGCAAGUCGAACGGCAGCACAGUAAGAGCUUGCUCUUACGGGUGGCGAGUGGCGGACGAGUGAGGAAUACAUCGGAAUCUACUUUUUCGUGGGGGAUAACGUAGGGAAACUUACGCUAAUACCGCAUACGACCUACGGGUGAAAGCAGGGGAUCUUCGGACCUUGCGCGAUUGAAUGAGCCGAUGUCGGAUUAGCUAGUUGGCGGGGUAAAGGCCCACCAAGGCGACGAUCCGUAGCUGGUCUGAGAGGAUGAUCAGCCACACUGGAACUGAGGCACGGUCCAGACUCCUACGGGAGGCAGCAGUGGGGAAUAUUGGACAAUGGGCGCAAGCCUGAUCCAGCCAUACCGCGUGGGUGAAGAAGGCCUUCGGGUUGUAAAGCCCUUUUGUUGGGAAAGAAAAGCAGCAGGUUAAUACCCCGCUGUUCUGGCGGUACCCAAAGAAUAAGCACCGGCUAACUUCGUG
rnacentral:rRNA from 1 species